CAAAGGUAACAAUAUCCACCAACGAUGCCGAUUAAUGUUCGGACCAUCGUAUUAGGAAAUCCGAUGAUUUUUUCACCUCUCCUCUCAUCUGAUCUCUUUUGUCACUAUCCCAUCACUUCCCGUCAACUUUUUAGCUGAAGCAAAAUAAAUUUUAAGACUUUGUAAUCGCUGAAAGUAGGAGAAAAUUGAGUACCCAUCAAUUAGAGAGGGUUUUGUUUCUUCGAUUCGAUGGCUAUAGGGCUUCAACCUAUGGGUCCAAGCCUCUCCACCUUCAAGCCGUCACUCGUUAUUCAAAUCGACUGAAAAAAGGUUAUUUGUUAUCUCUUUUCAGCACUAAAUUUAACCUGUAAUUUAUCUUCUCAAGGACAUUAAAUUUAUUUUUUUUUUAAAAAAAAAAAAAUUUUGGAAGCUUUUUGGAAAAGCCAGGCAACCUAUAAUUUUCCUAUAAAAGAGGUCUUGGUCACCCCUUAGGGUAUAGAGUUAAGUGGUAAAGAAGUUGGGGAAUAUCUUGAGUUUUUAUCUUACUCUCCCAUUCACUAAAUUCUCUAGUUUCUUUGGUUUACCCACGCUGCUCUCUUUGUUUUUUCAUCGUUCGAACAACUCGGAAGUUGACGUAUGUGGUGGAAUCGAUCUUUGGACUUGUCUUCUUGGUCCUCUACUGCAAAAAAGGUUCAGAAGCUUAGUCUAGGGGCCCGGCUAAUCAGUAAAGUAUCCAGAGAGAAGUGAUCUGUGCAGUGGUGAGCCUUCUUUGUUUCAGAAGGCCUGUUAUUUUAGAUUAUGUUGUUUCUUUAUUUUGAUCUAUUGGGGGCCUUGUCCUAUCUUUUCAGACAGUUGUCUUUAGAUCAUGUAGUAGAGAUUUUGUAGACUGUUCCAGAUGUUGUUUAGUUGAUUUCGGAUUUCAUUCCUUAUUGGUAAACUGAAUCCAUAGUAUGACAAUGUUUCUGUAUUAGAUUAUAAUUCCGCAUUUUCUUUUA